UGGGGAAUAUUGCACAAUGGGCGCAAGCCUGAUGCAGCCAUGCCGCGUGUGUGAAGAAGGCCUUCGGGUUGUAAAGCACUUUCAGCGGGGAGGAAGGCGUUAAGGUUAAUAACCUUGGCGAUUGACGUUACCCGCAGAAGAAGCACCGGCUAACUCCGUGCCAGCAGCCGCGGUAAUACGGAGGGUGCAAGCGUUAAUCGGAAUUACUGGGCGUAAAGCGCACGCAGGCGGUCUGUCAAGUCGGAUGUGAAAUCCCCGGGCUCAACCUGGGAACUGCAUUCGAAACUGGCAGGCUAGAGUCUUGUAGAGGGGGGUAGAAUUCCAGGUGUAGCGGUGAAAUGCGUAGAGAUCUGGAGGAAUACCGGUGGCGAAGGCGGCCCCCUGGACAAAGACUGGCGCUCAGGUGCGAAAGCGUGGGGAGCAAACAGG
rnacentral:rRNA from 1 species